UCUUCUGGAAAGCGAGAUGACUUAAAGGGGCAUUCACCUUCUUUCGCACAUCUGCUCCAGGAUGGGACUGCGCCCGAUCAGGCUGUUGGCGGGGUAAUGGCCCACCAAACCAGUAACCGGUACGGUCAUUGAGAGAGGGGGCCCGGAGAUGGACAGUGAGAGAAGGGUCCAGGUCCUACGGGGCACAGCAGGCGGGACAGUAACGCAAGGCUCAGUAGCGCCGGAGCAGUAACAGAGGGGUCAGUGACGAGGGGGUCAGUGUCAGCGUAAAAAGGCCGGCGAAUUACCC
rnacentral:rRNA from 1 species